rnacentral:rRNA from 1 species
UGCAUGGCUGCCGUCAGCUCGUGUCGUGAGAUGUUGGUUAAGUCCCGCAACGAGCGCAACCCUUAUCCCUAGUUGCCAUCAGGUAAAGCUGGGAACUCUGGGGAGACUGCCGGUGAUAAACCGGAGGAAGGCGGGGAUGACGUCAAGUCCCCACUGGCCCUUACAUCCCGGGCUACACACGUGCUACAAUGGCAGGUACAGAGGGCUGCGAAGCCGCGAGGUGGAGCGAAUCCCAGAAAACCUGUCUCAGUCCGGAUUGAAGUCUGCAACUCGACUUCAUGAAGGCGGAAUCGCUAGUAACCGCGAAUCAGCAGGUCGCGGUGAAUACGUUCCCGGGCCUU